rnacentral:rRNA from 1 species
UACGGAGGAUGCGAGCGUUAUCCGGAUUUAUUGGGUUUAAAGGGUGCGUAGGCGGAUUGAUAAGUCAGUGGUGAAAUCCUGCAGCUUAACUGUAGCAUUGCCGUUGAUACUGUCAGUCUUGAGUAUGGUUAAGGUAGGCGGAAUGUGUAAUGUAGCGGUGAAAUGCUUAGAUAUUACACAGAACACCGAUUGCGAAGGCAGCUUACUGAACCAAAACUGACGCUGAGGCACGAAAGCGUGGGGAGCGAACAGG